CCUACGGGGCGCAGCAGUGAGGAAUAUUGGUCAAUGGCCGGAAGGCUGAACCAGCCAAGCCGCGUGAAGGACGAAGGUGCCAAGCAUUGUAAACUUUUUUUGUCAAGGGACAAAAUCAGGCUCGAGAGCCUGACCGAGGGUACUUGAAGAAAAAGCAUCGGCUACCGCCGUGCCAGCAGCCUCGGUAAUCGGGAGGAUGCGAGCGUUGUCCGGAUUGAUUGGGUUGAAGGGGGGCGUAGGCGGGCUGUUAAGUCAGCGGUAAAAGCCCGGGGCCCAACCCCGGCGAGCCGUUGAAACUGGCUGUCUUGAGAUGUCGAGAGGUAUGCGGAAUGCGCAGUGUAGCGGUGAAAUGCUUAGAUAUUGCGCAGAACUCCGAUUGCGAAGGCAGCAUACCGGCGGCGAUCUGACGCUGAGGCACGAAAGCGUGGGUAUCGAACAGGAUUAGAUACCCCUGUAGUC
rnacentral:rRNA from 1 species